UACGGGGGGGGCAAGCGUUGUUCGGAAUUACUGGGCGUAAAGGGCUCGUAGGCGGCCAACUAAGUCAGACGUGAAAUCCCCAGGCUCAACCUAGGAACUGCGUCUGAUACUGGAUGGCUUGAAUCCGGGAGAGGGAUGCAGAAUUCCUGGUGUAGCGGUGAAAUGCGCAGAUAUCAGGAGGAACACCGAUGGCGAAGGCAGGUCUCUGGGCCGAUACUGACGCUGAGGAGCGAAAGCGUGGGGAGCGAACAGG
rnacentral:rRNA from 1 species